rnacentral:rRNA from 1 species
UACGUAGGUGGCAAGCGUUGUUCGGAAUUAUUGGGCGUAAAGGGCGCGUAGGCGGUCCAUCAAGUGGGGUGUGAAAUCCCUCGGCUCAACCGAGGAAUUGCGCUCCAAACUGUUGGGCUCGAGGGAGAUAGAGGUGAGCGGAACUGAUGGUGGAGCGGUGAAAUGCGUUGAUAUCAUCAGGAACACCAGAGGCGAAGGCGGCUCACUGGGUCUCUUCUGACGCUGAGGAACGAAAGCUAGGGGAGCAAACGGG